rnacentral:rRNA from 1 species
GACGUAGGGCGCGAGCGUUGUCCGGAAUUAUUGGGCGUAAAGAGCUUGUAGGCGGUUUGUCGCGUCUGCUGUGAAAUUUCGGGGCUCAACCCCGAACUUGCAGUGGGUACGGGCAGACUAGAGUGUGGUAGGGGAGACUGGAAUUCCUGGUGUAGCGGUGAAAUGCGCAGAUAUCAGGAGGAACACCGGCGGCGAAGGCGGCUGCCUGGACCGGCCCUGACGCUGAGGCGCGAAAGCUAGGGGAGCAAACAGG